rnacentral:rRNA from 1 species
AGUGAACGCUGGCGGUAGGCCUAACACAUGCAAGUCGAACGGCAGCACAGUAAGAGCUUGCUCUUACGGGUGGCGAGUGGCGGACGGGUGAGGAAUACAUCGGAAUCUACUUUUUCGUGGGGGAUAACGUAGGGAAACUUACGCUAAUACCGCAUACGACCUACGGGUGAAAGCAGGGGAUCUUCGGACCUUGCGCGAUUGAAUGAGCCGAUGUCGGAUUAGCUAGUUGGCGGGGUAAAGGCCCACCAAGGCGACGAUCCGUAGCUGGUCUGAGAGGAUGAUCAGCCACACUGGAACUGAGACACGGUCCAGACUCCUACGAGAGGCAGCAGUGGGGAAUAUUGGACAAUGGGCGCAAGACUGAUCCAGCCAUACCGCGUGGGUGAAGAAGGCCUUCGGGUUGUAAAGCCCUUUUGUUGGGAAAGAAAAGCAGCAGGUUAAUACCCCGCUGUUCUGACGGUACCCAAAGAAUAAGCACCGGCUAACUUCG